GAUGAAUGUUCGCGGCAUGCUUAACACAUGCAAGUCAGACGGGAAGUGGUGUUUCGAGUGGCGGAUGGGUGAGUAACGAGUAAGAACCUGCCCUCUGGAGGGGAACAACAGCUGGAAAUGGCUGCUAAUACCCUGUAAGCUGAGGAGAAAAAGGAGGAAUCCACCCAAGGAGGGGCUCGCAUCUGAUUAGUUAGUUGGUGAGGAAAUGGCUUACCAAGGCGACGAUCAGUAGCUGGUCUGAGAGGAUGAUCAGCCACACUGGGACUGAGACACGACCCAGACUCCUACGGGAGGUAGCAGUGGGGAAUUUUCUGCAAUGUGAAAAAGCCUGACAGAGCAAUGCUGAUGAAGGCAGAAGGCCCAUGGGUCAUGAACUUCUUUUCUCGGAGAAGAAAAAAUGACGACA
rnacentral:rRNA from 1 species